CUUAGAUCUGAUUGAUUCAGAUAACAAACUCGGGAAAAGUCGGGCCUAUUUUCUAAGGCAGAAGUUUCUGUUGAACAGUUUUUAAAGUUUACAAUUUUUAUACCCGGUAUCCGAAGAGUAAAUAGGGUAUAUUGUAUUUGUGAGGAAUAACGGUUGUAUGUAACGCACAGAAGGAAGCGUUUCCGUUUCCAUAAAGUAUAUAUAUUCUUGAUCAGCAUCAUUAGCCGAGUCGAUAGAGCCAUGUCUGUCUGUGCGUCCGUCUUGUUGAGCGCCUGGAUCUCAGAGACCAUAAAAGCUAGAGCCACCAAAUUUGGCCGCGAGUCUGCAGUGUGUGGGUCUAGGGAAGGGGGGCGAGCUAAAGGAGCGUGUUGGUGUGAGAAGUGUUGUAGAUGUAGAUGACAGAUGCAGAAAUAAUUUAAAAUUUGACAAAUAACCGCUAAGGUACAGAUGUAGUACUCAGUGCCGGGUAUAAAAGUUGUUCUUCUCGUUUUGAGGUAUUUUUUACGAAAUUUUGAUUUUAAAAACUCGGGAAAAGUCGGGCCUUUUUUCUAAAGCAGAACUUUUUUUUAAGAAUUUAUUAAGUAUGUAAUUUUUUGUUUAAGGUUUUUUUCACAGGUAGCGGUUUGUUUCUUCAUAAACUUAAGUAUCUUAGAUCUGGUUGUAUACAACAUUGCUUAUCUGAAAAGCUGAUUGAUGCAGCUAAAAAGCGAAUCCAAACUGCUUGGGGUUUGCUUUACCGUCUGGGAAAUAUAAAGCUUUGAAAUGCAACAAUGUUGAUUUUUGUGAGAUAUUUUUACGAAAGUUUGACUUUAAAAACUCGGGAAAAGUCGGCCUUAUUUUCCAUGGCAGAAAAUUUUUUCCAAUAGUUUUUAAAGUUUGUAAUUUUUUGUUUAAGGUUAUUUCAGAGGUAGCGGUUUGUUUUUUCAUAAACUUAAGUAUCUUAGAUCUGGUUGUAUACAACAUUGCUUAUCUGAAAAGCUGAUUGAUGCAGCUAAAAAGCGAAUCCAAACUGCUUGGGGUUUGCUUUACCGUCUGGGAAAUAUAAA
rnacentral:lncRNA from 1 species